CGUUAUCCGGAUUUAUUGGGUUUAAAGGGUCCGUAGGCGGAUGUGUAAGUCAGUGGUGAAAUCUCACAGCUUAACUGUGAAACUGCCAUUGAUACUGCAUGUCUUGAGUGUUGUUGAAGUAGCUGGAAUAAGUAGUGUAGCGGGUGAAAUGCAUAGAUAUUACUUAGAACACCAAUUGCGAAGGCAGGUUACUAAGCAACAACUGACGCUGAUGGACGAAAGCGUGGGGAGCGAACAGGAUUAGAUACCCUGGUAGUCCACGCCGUAAACGAUGCUAACUCGUUUUUGGGCUUUCGGGUUCAGAGACUAAGCGAAAGUGAUAAGUUAGCCACCUGGGGAGUACGUU
rnacentral:rRNA from 1 species